rnacentral:rRNA from 1 species
GACGAACGCUGGCGGCGUGCUUAACACAUGCAAGUCGAACGGAAAGGCCCUGCUUUUGUGGGGUGCUCGAGUGGCGAACGGGUGAGUAACACGUGAGUAACCUGCCCUUGACUUUGGGAUAACUUCAGGAAACUGGGGCUAAUACCGGAUAGGAGCUCCUGCUGCAUGGUGGGGGUUGGAAAGUUUCGGCGGUUGGGGAUGGACUCGCGGCUUAUCAGCUUGUUGGUGGGGUAGUGGCUUACCAAGGCUUUGACGGGUAGCCGGCCUGAGAGGGUGACCGGCCACAUUGGGACUGAGAUACGGCCCAGACUCCUACGGGAGGCAACAGUGGGGAAUAUUGCACAAUGGGCGGAAGCCUGAUGCAGCAACGCCGCGUGCGGGAUGACGGCCUUCGGGUUGUAAACCGCUUUCGCCUGUGACGAAGCGUGAGUGACGGUAAUGGGUAAAGAAGCACCGACUAACUACGU